UACGGGGGGAGCAAGCGUUGUUCGGAUUUACUGGGCGUAAAGGGCGCGUAGGCGGCCUUCUUAGUCGGACGUGAAAUCCCCAGGCUUAACUUGGGAACUGCGUCCGAUACUGGGAGGCUUGAGUGCGGGAGAGGGAUGUGGAAUUCCAGGUGUAGCGGUGAAAUGCGUAGAUAUCUGGAGGAACACCGGUGGCGAAGGCGGCAUCCUGGACCGACACUGACGCUGAGGCGCGAAAGCUAGGGGAGCAAACGGG
rnacentral:rRNA from 1 species